GGCCGGUUAGCUCAGUUGGUUAGAGCGUCGUGCUAAUAACGCGAAUGUCGUGGGUUCUACCCCCACACUGGCCA
rnacentral:tRNA from 1 species